CUUCAGCAUGUUUGGGAUAUAAACAUCUCAGUGCGCAAGCAGUUCAAGGACAAGAUACCAUAGACCAGGAUGCAUCAUGACAUGGCAUGACUUGCCAGAUCUGCUGAGACCUCAGCGCUUGCUGCACCUAAAUGCCAUCUUCCACUGUCAUUCCUACUCAAGCUGCCCCUCUCUUACUGGUGAAGAAUAUUCAGGCUGCCUUGGGCAGCAACAGAGCUCCAACAGAAAACUCAUGGCUCUCCUGGGAGGAAAUGGAGAAGGUUGACCUAAGCCGCGUCGUCAAUGUUCUAACAGUUUUCUGGUAAGUGUCCAUGAUAAACUGCUGUCCCUGUUGAUUGAUGGACGCAUUGCCUUUUUGGGGAUGCCUCGUUGAAAUGUUGUUACUCUGUUUUAUCUGGUGUUGCUGUUCUCUAGAAGUUCCGCUCUUUGUGUCAGAGAGACGGCAACGCGUCUCUCCACAGCACACGCAUAGACAGACAUGCGUGCGCAUGAGCACUAAGGCACCCUGCCGUGCGCAGUCUGUCACUUCACACGCUGCAGCUGCUGAGGUAUAUUUUGAAUUGUCGACAACAGAUUGAGGGACAAUUAUGGGUUUUUUUCCUAGUGUAUUUUUACCAGACGAACAACCAGCCUUUUGGCAUUUUGAUCAGUGAAGGAUAGGCUAUUGCAGAGUAAAUGAACAGAGCAUCUGCUGUGUUCAUCAACUCUCUUCAGGUAUUGUGCCUGGACAGGGAAUGGCAGCAGGAGAACCACCCCCGGCCCCGCCCCACCACUCCUGGGUCUGAAGGAAGCUAUGAAGCAGGUGCGGCUGGAUUUGCCUAGUAGCCUCUUGGAAACUGGGAGCCCUAAGAAUGCUGGGAAAGGCAACGUCCCAUCCCUCCUUGAUCCCUCCUUGACCUUCUUGCAUCGUGCAAGAAGAUCUGAAGGGGGUUUCUAAGGGUGCUUUGUUGAAUGCGCUUAGAAGCUUCCCUGGAGUCAGGAUUCCCCAUUGCAAGGAAGCAUCUGAAGCCUGUUCAAACAAACAAGCAUGUAGCAAACUCCCAUAGCUGUCAACCGUCCCUUAUUUGGUGGGAAACUCCCUUAUCCCAGUGCCGUGUCCUGCUGCUGUCCUUUAUUGAUGAUGCCCCUUAAAUUUCCCGGGUUUCAUGCUCGCCCAGCUCGGGAGGGAAGCAGCGGCUUGGAGUCCUCCGCCACUUGAGAGUGCGUUCGCUCACGAGCUGCCGCGUCUCCGUCUCUCCGUCUCUCCCUAGUUGCUUCCAAAAAUAGGAAGGUAGACUCAAUGUGGACUAGCAGUUUGGAAAUGUUGGUACUUGCUCUGUAAUGCCUGGAUGUCAGGGACUGGCUGGAUGAAGAGUGGUGGAAGUCGACAGACCCCAGGGAAACCCCAGGGAAACUGGCCACACCCCAGAGGAGAGGACAAGGUGGGAAGUACUGGAUUGCUGGUGAAGGAUGGUGAAGAGAAGGAGGAAACAGACAGGUGCUCCAGCACAGAACAGAGACUGGAAUUGUAUAAGCAUAGUGCCAGGAUCUUUCCAGGUGCCUCUGAAUUCACUGUACAAUAGUGAACAUGAAUAACAGCAGGAGAGUUUGACAUCCUUGGGAUCUCUGCUGUCAGUUUUGAUCUUGCUAAGUCUGAUUGCCAAAGAAUUGAUGCUUUUGAAUUCUGGUGCUGGAGGAGACUCUUGAGAAUCCCAUAGACUGCAAGAAGAUCAAACCUAUCCAUUCUUAAGGAAAGCAGCCCUGAGUGCUCACUGGAAGGACCUGAAGCUGAGGCUCCAAUACUUUGGCCAACUCAUGAGAAGAGAAGAUUCCCUGGAAAAGACCCUGAUGUUGGGAAAGAUGGAGGGCACAAGGAGAAGGGGACGACAGAGGACAAGAUGGUUGGACAGUGUUCUUGAAGCUUUGACCAAACUGUGGGAGGCAGUGGAAGACAGGAGUGUCUGGCGUGCUCUGGUCCAUGGGGUCACGAAGAGUCGGACACGACUAAACGACUAAACGACAACAAAAGUCAACCACUCUGAAUUCACAGAGAUGCUGCUUUUUCCCCAACUGGGCCAUUGCCAACUCCCAAGCUCUGUGUUUUCUAACACUGGGGAAGGGAGAAUCCAGUAUGAUUCUGCUAGGACUGAGAGGGCCGACAUUUCCCCUUGCCAUGGUGCUGCAAGAACAUGGCGCCUCCCUUCUCCCGGAACAGAGGUGUGCAUUGAGCGCAGGCAAAUGAAAAAAGAGGCCUUGCGAGCCGUAGAAAUGGACCUGCGGUCAUGGAGAGAACAAAGUCUGAGUAAAGCAUUAACGUGUUCACUAACCCAAAUCACACAUGGGAAUUCUAAUGCUCCCUCCCUUGCUUACAUAAGGUGUCCUUUUUUACAGCACUUCUUAAGACCUAAUACAAAUAUUAGCCGUCAUUCCCCUAUUAAUUAUUGUUAAAGAUUUAAAGGGUCAGGGACUCUAAACCUAAUGUCUUGGUCAUUGUGGGAAAGGUAAGGAAUGGUUCACUGUGUGCGAAGUGGAACCGCACAGCUCUUUCUGGGAAACUGCAGGCUGCCAGAAUUCUGAGAUAAGACACCGUCUCUGAAUGUAUCGUAUUUUUCGCUCUAUAGGAUGCACUUUUUCCCCUCCAAAAAUUAAGGGGAAAUGUGUGUGCGUCCUAUGGAGCGAAUGCAGGCUCCUUGGCUUCAGUGAUAGCAACGCGAAGCCUCCGAAGCACAGAGGGAGCGCUCCCUCUGCGCUUCGGAGGCUUCGCGUUGCUUUCGCUGAAGCCUGGAGAGCGAAAGGGGUCAGUGCGCACCGACCCCUCUUGCUCUCCAGGCUUUAGGGAUAGCCGCCUGAAGCCUUCAGAGUGCAGCGCGAGUUCCCACUGCGCUCCACAGGCUUCAGGUUCCUUUCGUUGAAGCCAGGAGAGUCUUGCUCUCCCGGCUUAAGCAAAAGGAACUCAAAGCCUCCGGAGUGCAGCGGGAACUCACGCUGCCCUCCAAAAGGCUUCAGGGAUAGCCGGAGGCUUCGGGUUCCUUUUGCUGAAGCCGGGAGAGCAAGACUCUCCUGGCUUCAGCAGAGAGGGACAGCUGCGCAGCGCUCCUUCAGCCAAGCGGGAGGAGAAAUGGAAGGGGCUCUGUUUCUCCUGCCGCUUCGCUGAAGGGGCGCUGAGCAGAGAGGGGGAGAUUUUUUUUUCUUGUUCUCCCCCUCUAAAACAAGGUGCAUCCUAUGGUCGGGUGUUUCCAAUAGAGCGAAAAAUACAGUAAUUCCUCCAGCUUUUGGAGCUAGAGGGGAGGGUGCUUACAGGAACAAAGGAGGUAGGGUCCAUUCCUCUCAGUGGGGAUACUCUGAGUAGAACUUCGUUGGAAAGAACGGUACCCAUCUGUCUAACCUAGUAGGGCUGUCAUACAUUCUUAGCUCAACACUUUUGGUGGUUUCCAAAGCUCCACAACGUUCAGAGUGUCCUGGUUUUUUUACCUUUUGAAACAUGUCAACCCUAAACCUAGUGGCCGAUUUGCAUUUCAGAAAUCAACAUUUAUUUGUGGUAUUCAAGUGACUGUUAUUUCUGGAGGAGGAACAAGUUCCUGUUGCAGAUCACAACUUGCCCUUGCUAGCCACAAGAGAGGCACCGUCACUUUGCUCAGGCUUCCACAAGGCAGGGGAAAUAUACAGAUCUCUUUUCUUGAAUAAAGCUGGGGAGCAGCAGAACGGUUUGAAAAUAAGCUUCUUCUUUUUCGACUGAGUGGGGUGGGAAUGUGCAUUUGAAGGGGAGCAGAUAAGCAGCUUGACAUGCUGGGUGGAGAAAUAAAAGUUGGCACUGGUCAAGUGGCGCAAGCAGCAUGGAAUUGUCACCAGUUUGACAUUAAUUAGACACCUAUUGGAGGGCUGCGUCUGCUUUCAAGGCCGUCUGUGUCCAAGGCUGUGUGGCUUACCUGAGUUCCCACAAUUUUUGUUGUUGCUGUUGUUAAAAACGGAACGAUGACCUGGAAUCAUACCAGGCUGAGGUAACAUAUAAUUAGUAUAGGGAUUUUGAGACAACAAGCACCAUGUCGCUUCUAGGGCAAAGGUAGAAAGUGAACUCGAGUAGAAAUACAAAUUGAGAAUAGCUACGUCAACAAAGUGAAAAUCAUUUAUUCAAAGGAGGUGUUCUCUGACUGGACAAUUUUCAAAGGGUUUUUGCGUCUGAGAGGGUCUCCUUCCCUCCCUCCCUUAGAUAUGCAGCAAUGUCGUGCUGCUGUGAAAAAGCAAAAUAAUUAAAAUUGUUUUAUUUAUUAUACCUAUACCUGCUGGUCUCAUAGAGGGCUUGUCAACAUCAUCGUCAGUAACAAAGAGUAUUUCAUUGGGUGGGGAGAGGGUAACUGUUUCAAUGGAACUUCGUAUUUUGAACCCGUGAGUAAAGAAUUAAUUGCACGCAUUAAUGAAUAAGGAUAGCUAGCUUCAAUCAGUUAAUCACCGAUGCAAUUAGUUUAAUAGAAUAGUUUGAUAUUCGGCCUGAUUAGUUGGUGAGUUGCUGAAGACAAAUAACAAAACUUUUGUGUGAGGGGGUGGGGAGUGAUUUUCAGUGAAGUUUCAAUGAGUGUUAUUUCAUUUAUUGGUGCUAUGUCUUUAAUCUGUGGAUGACGCAACUCAGGCCUAGUGGUCAAAUGUGUCCUCAGGCCUCUCAUUGGUCCUUAGGACCCUUUCCUAGGUCAAGCACACCCUGCAACCGGCCAUGCUCUGCCUUGUCCUUCAUGGUUUUUGCCCGGCUGGAAUGUGUCUCUGAACUCUGAUAGUGUUUGCUGCUUGCUUGGAUAGAGGUUAGAGAGGGCUGUGUUUGCAUCUGCAGCUGCUAUACAAAGGGAGGGAAAUCGCUUUUAUUACGCUUCCCGCUUUUGCUUCGUAGCCCCAAAGGGAAUGUAGACCUUGGUCUGAACAUGGUUCCCCAACCUUUGCUUUAACUUUUAUAGUAUUUUGCUGUUGUUGUUUAGUUGUUUAGUCGUGUCCGACCCCUGGACCAGAGCACAGCAGGCACUCCUGUCUUCCACUGCCUCCCGCAGUUUGGUCAAACUCAUGCUGGUAGCUUCGAGAACACUCUCCAACCAUCUUGUCCUCUGCUGUCCCCUUCUCCUUCUGCCCUCCAUCUUUUCCAACAUCAGGGUCUUUUCCAGGGAGUCUUCUCUUCUCAUGAGGUGGCCAAAGUAUUGGAGCCUCAGCUUCAGGAUCUGUCCUUCCAGUGAGCACUCAGGGCUGAUUUCCUUCAGAAUGGAUAGGUUUGAUCUUCUUGCAGUCCAUGGGACUCUCAAGAGUCUCCUCCAGCACCAUAAUUCAAAAGCACCAAUUCUUCGGUGAUCAGCCUUCUUUAUGGUCCAGCUCUCACUUCCAUACAUCACUACUGGGAAAACCAUAGCUUUUACUAUACGGACCUUUGUUGGCAAGGUGAUGUCUCUACUUCUUAAGAUGCUGUCUAGGUUUGUCAUUGCUUUUCUCCCAAGGAGCAGGUGUCUUUUAAUUUCGUGGCUGCUGUCACCAUCUGCAGUGAUCAUGGAGCCCAGGAAAGUAAAAUCUCUCACUGCCUCCAUUUCUUUCCCUUCUAUUUGCCAGGAGGUGAUGGGACCAGUGGUCAUGAUCUUGGUUUUUUUGAUGUUGAGCUUCAGACCAUAUUUUGCGCUCUCCUCUUUCACCCAUGGAGUUUUCUUGGCAGGGAUACUGGAGUGGCUUGCCGGUUCCUCCUCCAGGUGGAUCACGUUUGGUCAAAACUCUCCACUAUGAUCUGUCCAUCUUGGGUGCCCUGCUCGGCAUAGUUCAUAGCUUCUCUGUGUUAUUCAAGCCCUUUUGCCACGGCAAGGCAGUGAUCCAUGAGGGGGUUUUAUAGUAUAGCCAUCUCCAGAUGUUACAGGACCAUGCUGGUCUAUAAUCACACAGUUCAAGUUGGAGCUAACACUUUAUUAGCAAAAAUACGACUUCCACAGACUUGGUUGAGUGUCAGGCCUAGUGAGCACAGCCGCUCAUAUCCGGUAGGUGUUGCCCCCAUGAAGCAGUUGCCAAGAGUGAAGGUCCUCUCCUCCCCACAGCUGCCUAGGUUCCCUCCACCCCAGGGUUUCCCCCAAGCAAUUGGAGACUGUGUCUGUGUGCAGCCAACAUCUCCUCGCCCUUUCCAUGCCUUUUCUGGUUCUGGGAGACGAGGGGGAGGGGAGCUUGUCACAGCAGAAGAAGAAGAAGAAGAAGAAGAGGAGUUUGGAUUUGAUAUCCCGCCUUUCACUCCCCUUCAGGAGUCUCAAAGCGGCUAACAAUCUGCUUUCCCUUCCUCCCCCACAACAAACACUCUGUGAGGUGAGUGGGGCUGAGAGACUUCAAAGAAGUGUGACUGGCCCAAGGUCACCCAGCAGCUGCAUGUGGAGGAGCGGAGACGCGAACCCGGUUCCCCAGAUUAUGAGACUACCGCUCUUAACCACUACACCACACUGGCUCUUAAGGGACAAGGAGACACCCAUGACUCUUCAGUAGCCUGGCUCAUCUCUGCCUCUUGGCCUUCUCCUGCUUCAGCUUCAGCUUCUGCCUCUGAUUCUGGGCUCCUCUCUGCCACAGACUCUCCCAGCUCACUAAGCCCUGUUGCCCCUUCAGCUUCCAACACCUCCUUCUCCUACUCUUCUCCCUCUGAUCACGUAUAGCUGUCCCACCACCACUCCCUGGGCUCUGAGCCUUCUUCUCUUGGUAGUUCCCCAGCUGGUUCCUUCCACCAUUUUUCCAUGUCCAACCAAUCCAUGACACCAGAUGGUUUAAAAAUCAGGUUCUUGAAAAGCCCUGAUCAAUGCAUCUUCAUUUAAUAAAUCCACCUUGCUAAUAUAGUAUGUUUUCAGUAUAGGGUCAAGUUUGUCUUCAGGGUUUGCCGAAAAUGUGCAUUACUUUUUUUUUUAAGGGACUUUUCAGGCACCUCAGUGCCUCAGCUAAACAUAGAGCAAUGGAUUGGCCGUGUGGUUUCUAAAAUUGCUUGAUCAGCGAGAAAUACUAGCGGAUGAACUGGGCAGUUGUUCCACAUCCUUGUUUUCAGAGACUUCUCAGAACAAAUUAAUUGAGCUCAUCAAAGGGUCGGCCCUUUCAGACUUCACAAAAGUUAGAGGAGAGAGCCGCUCUUUGUUUAGCAACAGAGUUCAAAUAGCUUGUUAUUAAAUAUAUGGCUGUGGCUGCCAGACAAUCAUAAUUCUGGGAACCCGAACUUUAAAAAUAUCAAUUGUUGCAAAACGUGGGACUGAAGCCAUGGGAGAUGGCAGGAUUCUUGGAAUCAAAAUGCAUAUCGGUAUAAUCUGCCUUGCACUAUGUGCUGAUAUGACCUGGGGAGGGAAACCUGGUGAUACGGAGGGCAUUGAGAGAUAGCAGUAGAACAAUCCAUCUGCAGGUAUUUCUGUUGGAUGUAGUUAGUCUCACAUCUCUCCCCUGUUCUUUGGCCACUUGUGGCAAUGCCAGUGUGGUGUAGUGGUUAAGAGUGGUGGACUCGUAAUCUGGUGAACCGGGUUCGCGUCUCCGCUCCUCCACAUGCAGCUGCUGGGUGACCUUGGGCUAGUCACACUUCUUUGAAGUCUCUCAGCCCCACUCACCUCACAGAGUGUUUGUUGUGAGGGAGGAAGGGAAAGGAGAAUGUUAGCCGCUUUGAGACUCCUUCGGGUAGUGAUAAAGCGGGAUAUCAAAUCCAAACUCUUCUUCUUUGCUAGAAAAACAGAAGUGAAGUGUGUGGAAUGUACCUCAGAUCAGAUGACCUGUAGAAAGACAGGUAGUGCCUCCACAGCAGUGGCCAGAGGAGUAAUGACCACUUGGAGGAGCUCAGAGAGAAGAAACACCAUGGUACAUUUGCACCAGUGAAACUGGACGCCUUCAUCUGCCCCAGCUGCAACAAAACAUGUCUCUCCCAUAUCAGUCUCUACAGCCACAGCAGCAGCCGUAACUCUCCAAUGUUUUUACUUCACCCCUGUGUGGGGAUGUUUAGGAUAAUAGGCAAGGAAAUAUUGUUAAGUAUUAUCCUUCCUUCACUCACACUAGUGAGUGAUGUAGCAGAGCAAAUCCCCUCUAUAUUCACGGAAGCUACCUUGUUUCCCCAAAAAUAAGACAGUGUCUUAUAUUACUUUUUGCUCCCAAAGAUGCGCUAGGUCUUAUUUUCAGGAAAUGUCUUAUUUUUCCAUGAAGAAGAAUAUGGUACACAUUUAUUGUCUAAUUGUGAGUCAGCCAGACUCUGUCAGGGCAGCAGGCGGCAACUUAUCCUGGUGGCGGCGCAGGCUCUCUGAUUUAAAGAGACCUCGCACCGCCUGAACAGCUCCGGCUGCGUUGCGGCCAAUCAGUGAGCUGCGCAGCGGCGCCUGCCGCUACGGUCCAGAAGAGUCAGACGCCUUACGGUAGCUUCGGGGGCCUUAUAUUCCGGGGAGGCCUUAUGUUCGGGGGAGGCCUUAUUAUCAGGGAGGUCUUAUUUUUGGGGGGUGCCUUAUAUUACAGUGAGAGGCAAAACUGAAAGUAGGUCUUAUUUUCGGGGGGAUGUCUUACUUUUGGGAAAAGAUGGUAGUUGAUUAGAUUUGUUUGAAUCUCUACAAAAUGACUAAUCCAAUCUGGCUUGCCCAGAUGGAUUAUCUCAGGUGUCUCCUUUUCUCCCUCUUAAAAUACAAUAAAGACUCACGAGUCUGUCUUUAAAAGUACAGUAUAACAAUAAGUUUACUCACAAGUUGUUCACAGUACGCAUCCUAGAAGGCAGGCUUCAGGUGACAAACGUAUAACGUGGCUUACAUCCUUUGUAAGGAUGGGCCCAAGUGCUGCUGGCUGAGAGCCAGCAGACAACAAGAUGGAUGAGACUUAACUGAGAGUUGAAUCAAACAGAACCAAAAUGUCUGUGUGACUCUGCUUUUAUAGAGCCGCACUCAUCUGCUGAAUCACUUACAGCAGGAACAGCAAGUUCCUCUCUGUCCACUCUAGGAAGUAAAGCAUGCUGUAAUUGAUUGUACUGUACUGAUGUAGCACAUCCCACACUCUGAAGGUGCACUCCUCCAUCGUCUGCCGAGACAGAUGGAUGCCAACCAGGAUGCCCUUGGCUACGUUUCCUUUAUCUUCAGUCUCCUCCCUGCUGAGUUCUACAGGGGGCAACCCCGAGACUAAGGAGAAGGUUUCCGGGCAGUGCCACCAUGCUGGACUGGUUGGAAGGAAGGAAGUGGAAGGCGGGUGAGAGCUAGCCGAGGGCAGACUGAAGUUGGAGGUGCAAUUCUCCAUUUUCCCAAAAGAGAAGCUUCCACUGGGUCCAAGAAACUACAGCACUUAAAGUAGAACUUCAACCCAAGGAUAAUGUCAAGGGACAGUGAUUUCAGCUCCCUGUGGGAGAUACACAUGGCUUUGUGCAAUGUACGCAAUGACCCUGUGUGGGGUGUGUGUGAGGACAAUUAUUCAACUCCACGAAAAGUAAUGGUUAAGUGCAGAGCUAGCAAACAAAAACAUUAAACAUUACAAGGAAGGGUGGCCCCAAGACAGACUCCUAUACAGUGUUGCCUCGGGUUAAGUACUUAAUUCAUUCCAGAGGUCUGUUCUUAACCUGAAACUGUUCUUAACCUGAAGCACCACUUUAGCUAAUGGGGCCUCCUGUUGGUGCCACGCCGCUGGAACACGAUUUCUGUUCUCAUCCUGAAGCAAAGUUCUUAACCUGAAGCACUAUUUCUGGGUUAGCGGAGUCUGUAACCUGAAGCGUAUGUAACCUGAAGUGUAUGUAACUUGAGGUACCACUGUAUUGUUCUUCUGAAUCUCCCCAACUUGGGUAGGGUUCUGAACUGAUGCAAAAGGGCAGUGACUUGAUGCAUGACCUGGUGUGGUGUCCCAUCCUUUGAACCCCUGGCUCUUUCAAUAUGGUGCUGGAGGAAGAGACACAAACAUUUCUAUGCAAUGCAGAAUGGAGGAGGGGAACAGAGGAAGGAAAUGGGGUGACGGUCAUGGGCUUUCUGGGAGUACGAGCAUGUACUAUCACCUUACUAGGAAUAGCAGAAUCAUUCUGGGUUAAUGAAACACGACGAAAAAUUUAUUUGGCAGGGAGAGGUGGUGGUGGGGAAGAAUAUUUAAAGUGUAAUAACACCUACGUUUUAUAUUCCUAUCCAUCUCAGUCUUUGCAAUUCAUCUGAUAGCUCAAAUACUAUAAAUUUAGUUGAAGAUAACAGAACAGAUGGGAAAAACAUAUGGUUUGUAGGUAGUGUGUGGUAGUUGGUAUUUGUAGUACAUUAGGGGAAUUUAUUUUAUUUUCUCUGUUUUCUAGUAUAACUUUCCCCCCACAAUUUGUCAAGCGAAUUCUUUAUACGGUUAGGUGAUGUUGGUUUUUUUUUUUUUUUACAAAAUUCUGCAUAAAACGGAGCAGUGGUUUUGUUUGUUUAUACCUGUUCAGCCAUGGCUUUGUUUGCCUCGCCCGUCUUCAGUCUUCUGUGCUUUGAAAUGGUUGCAGCUCUGUGAUCUAACUUGGAUCCGGUUAAAAGGUCCAGGUCAUGGAGUAAUUCUCCAUUCAGUUUUUAAUCUCUGAAUCUCCCAGUAACAAAAACCAGUGGCCGGCAUGUGGCUAAGCAUGAUGCAUUCUAUGGGCUAAUAACUGCUUUGACUCAUGCUCUUCACAAUGCAGAGCGGUGCAGUGGGAAGUUGGGGGAAUACCACGCCUCCCUUUCAUUAGACAUCUGGUUACCACAUCAGCAUAAAGGAGCCAAGUGGCUGCAUAUUGAUGACAUCAGUUUCCUGGAGGUAUUGUUAGAGAUCUGUAUGUGGCAGGGAUGAGAGUUUUCAGCACGGUAUUCUGGGAGGAAGAAGGAAGGCUGGGAUCCAUCUUGGGCAGGUUGGCUGAAGGCUGCCUGCACUGCUGUGGGAGACAUGCCCCUCUUGAAAUGACCAUGCUGCAAGAUCUGGACUUCCUCCAUGCAGACUGAAGGUGUAAGUAGGUGAAUAAGCCACAUUUCUUAAAGCUAUGGCAGUCUCUGUCGUGUUUUAAUUCUCUAAAGGACCACAGACCUCUCUUGCCACCACCCGGCAGAGAGAGGGGGAGGCACCCAACUUGUGUAACAGUAUUUUCUUAAGAAGUGAGGGAGUGUCUACCAUUUUCAUGCUUCAACUCUUGAGUAAGGUCUGCCUCUUGAUUUACAACACAUGGAAUUUGGAUGACAGGCAUGUUAAGGGCGGUUAACACAGCCUCUUUCCAGGGAGGCUCUGCCAGGGAGGUAAAGGUAAAGGGACCCCUGACCAUUAGGUCCAGUCGCGGACAACUCUGGGGACAACAUCUCGCUUUAUUGGCCAAGGGAGCCGGUGUACAGCUUCUGGGUCAUGUGGCCAGCAUGACUAAGCCACUUCUGGCGAACGAGAGCAGCGCAUGGAAACGCCAUUUAUCUUCCUGCCGGAGCGGUACCUACUUAUCUACUUGUACUUUGAUGUGCUUUUGAACUGCUAGGUUGGCAGGAACAGGGACCGAGCAAUGGGAGCUCACGCCGUUGUGGGGAUUCGAACCGCCGACCUUCUGAUCGGCAAGUCCUAGACUCUGUGGUUUAACCUACAGCACCACCCGUUAUGACCCUCCUAAAUCAGUCCAAAGUCUCAUCUAGUCCAGCAGGCUGUUCUCACAGUGGCCAACCAGUUACCCAUGGGAAAUCCCAAAACAGGCCAUGAGGGCUGCGUUACUCUCCCACUUGUGAUCCUGAGCAACCGAUAUUCAGUAACCAUGAAUAGACUUGUCCUCCAUUAAUUUGUCUAAUCCCCUUUCAAAUAUAUCCACGUUGCUUGCCAUCGCUGCUUCCUUUUACCCACCCUCAAUCUCUCGCAAGCCGCCCUCCCAAAUUCAGCUUCUACGGAUGACCCAAAUUUUUAUAACUCAGUUUUGCAUUCCUUCUCACACAGAGAAGAAAGCCAGACACGAUUCAGGGCAGAUGCAGGUGUGAGAUCCAUGUUGAGGUUGCUUUUUGUCCCAAAGGAGGAGAUACAAGCAUUGGGAGAUGCUAUGGAGAGAAGAGAUUGAGAGAGGGGGAAAGAGAGAGGGAAAGACAGAGAGAGAAAAAGAAAUCUGGGAGUGGGGAAAGAGGAAAGAGCUAUUCAGUGAGUGAGUAGCCGUGAAAAGGGCACUCCCCAGAAAUUUUCUAGGGCCCUUGUACCUACGGGACUGCCUCUCCUGGUAUGUCCCGCGGAGGACCUUAAGGUCCAUAAAUAGCAACACUAGAGGUCCCGGGCCCCAAUGAAGUCAGAUUAGCCUCAAUCAGGGCCAGGGCCUUUUUAACACUGGAUCCACCCUGGUGGAACGCUCUGUCUCAUGAGCCCAGGGCCCUGCAGGAUCUGAUUUCUUUCCGCAGGGCCUGUAAGACAGAGUUGUUCCACCUGGCCUUUGGCUUGGAACCAGCCUGAUCCCCUCCCCCUCUUUCCUUUUCCUUCUGUGAUGGAACCCCUAUUUGGGGACUUCCCUGGCUUUUCUGGCCCACGUAGGACCAGUCUGGAUAGUUGGCCUUGGUGAAGAUUUGAUAUUUUCUCCCCCCAAACAGUUUUUGAUCUGGGCUUCCAGUGAAAUGAGGCUGCAUUUUAAGUAGUAUUUUAAUCUUGUUUUUAAGUUGUAUUUUUAAUCAAUUGUUCUUAUACCUGAUAUUAGCCACCCUGAGCCUGAUCUUGGCUGUGGAGGGCGGGAUAAACAAACAAACAAACAAACAAACAAACAAACAAACAAACAAACAAACAAACACCCCAUUCCCAAAACUAAAUAAGAGCAUUUUUUUUCUAUAAAUUUAUGUUCUUGAAUGUAGAGUCUAAUCGAAGUAGUGUAACAUUUAAAUCAAGACUUAAGACUCCUUGGCUUCUUUGCGGAGAAUAAUUUUGUUUGGAAUCUAGCAAUGUCUGGCAAUUAAGACCAAGCAGAAAAGAAGGAGGUCAUGAAAAUAUGUUAAAAUUUGUGAUUAUAUUUCUGAAGGCUUUAAAAAAAAACAACUUACAACACCUAUAAAUGCUUCUUUUGGAAGAAGGGGUAUGUAGAUUCAGAAAUCCUCACCCGCUUUAGCGUCUGAAAUUGACUGUCUUUUUAGCUGCAAUCCUUUCUUUUGCAUUUAAACAUGCUUUCAUAAUUAAAAAAGAUUUGACAAGAUUGGGCAUUCCUAAACUCUGAUCCAAUCUACAGUGGCAAGCUGUGCUUAACUUCUGUUCCCCAUUACUCCAUCCUUUACCUACAUUCCUGGGGUCCCAGGUGUAUCUGCAUUUUGCUACUGAAUAAAUUUCCAGACGCUUUCUGGAACUUGGCUAAAGAACAAGUGAAGUCAUUCACAAUAUUGCUUGGUUUUGCCGCUGUCCUGGUUUACUGACUCAAACUGACAACCUGCUCUGUAACUUCUCUUGUCUGUCUAUUCUAUUAACCAUUAAAAAACAACACUCAACCCAUAAUAUUAAAAACUUCAACUCUUUAUUUUAACUAUGCGCCCUAAAAGCCAAAUGCUUUUAUAUAUAUAUUGCAGCAAGCAUUAGUUGAUUAAUCAGCUAGAGGAACUUUAAUGACAGAUUAAAAUUUGCCCUCUGUUUAAUCAGCGAGGUUGACAGCAACCAAUGGUACUUGACUUGAAGGACUCAGAGUUUGCUGUAUUGGCCCUUCUGGCUUGCAGUACCAGGACACAGCCUGAGUGCACCAGGGAGGGGGGGGGACUAGUUCAGGGGUGGGAGGAGGUGACAAAGGCAUAAUCAUAGGAGCAAAGAUUUUGCUGUACACAUUUAAUAAUAAUAAUAAUAAUAAUAAUAAUAAUAAUAAUAAUAAUAAUUUAUUUAUAUCCUGCCCUCCCCAGCUGAAGCCGGGCUCAGGGCGGCUAACAACAAUAAAAUAAUACAACAUUCUAAAAUCAUUUCAUUAUAAAUUUAAUUCAAAUCAAAUUGAUGGCAACCAUUGGGCUAGAGUUCUGUGAAGAUUGCCAAAGGAGGGAGUCAGGCUGUGCCUUGGCCAAAGGCCUGGUCUUGCAGGCCCUGCAGAAAGAUGUCAGGUCCCGCAGGGCCCUAGUCUCUUGUGACAGAGCGUUCCACCAGAUCGGAGCCACAGCCGGAAAAGCCAGGCUCUGGUUGAGGGCAGCCUAACCUCUCUGUGGCCUGGGACCUCCAAGAUGUUUUUGUUUGAAGACCGUAAGUUCUUCUGUGGGACAUGCCAGGAGAGGCGGUCCCGUAGGUACGAGGGUCCUAGGCCAUAUAGGGCUUUAAAGGUUAAAACCAGAACCUUAAACCUGAUCCUGUACUCCACCGGGAGCCAGUGCAGCUGGUAUAGCACCGGGUGAAUGUGAUCCCACAGCGAGGACCCCAUAAGGAGUUUCGCUGCAGCAUUCUGCACCCGCUGGAGUUUCUGGGUCAGUCUCAAGGGCAGCCCCACGUAGAGUGAGUUACAAUAAUCCAGUCUGGAGGUGACCGUCGCGUGGAUCACAGUGGCUAGGUCAGGGCGAGAGAGGUAAGGAGCCAACUGCUUAGCUUGGCGGAGAUGAAAAAACAUAUAAAUAUAUUGUAACUGAAAGUUGAGUAAGCAGAAUGGCAUAGUAGGAAUGGGUGUGUUGGGGUGGUGGUGGGAGAGAAAAAUUUCUUUCAUUCACUUUUUUUGCAGUCGGCCAACUUGAUCCAAUGCUUGCCGACUUAAUUGUGGAUCAGAAUGCAGCUCCCCAUCAGAUAAAGCACUUCCCUGAAUUUUGCAACGCAUUCACGCUGUGCGAAAAGUGCUCGCAGAAAUGUGUUUCGCGCAAAAUGCACAAAAAUUGUAUUUCUGGAGACAUUUUAGACCGCCCUGGAACUUGGCAUUGUUGUUAUGUACCCGCCAACAUUUCUCCAAUGAAAAUAGGGAUACCUAUUCUACAUCAGGAAGCUUACACUAUGUUUGAUCUUGCUGUAUGAAUAGACGCUAAUAAUAAUAAUAAUAAUAAUAAUAAUAAUAAUAAUAAUAUAUUUGUACCCCGCCCAUCUGGCUGGGUUUCCCCAGCCACUCUUGGCGGCUCCCAAUCGAAUAUUAUUAUUAUUAUUAAUAAUAAAGCAAUAAAAUAUCAAAUAUCAAAUAAAAUAUCUAAAUUCUCUUGCUGCGAGAAGUGAGGUUACAGGGAACCAGGCAGAGGGCCUUCUUGGUAGUGGUGCCUGCCCUGUGGAAUGCCCUCCCAGCAGAUGUCAAGACAAUAGACAAUUUUUUACUUUUAAAAGACAACUGAAGGCGGCCCUGUUUAGGGACGUUUUUAAUGUGUGAUGCUGUAUUGUUUUUAAUAUUCGGUUGGAAGCCACUCAGAGUGGCUGGGGAAACCCAGCUAGAUGGGCGGGGUAUAAAUAAUAAAUUAUUAUUAUUAAACUCUGGCUGCCGUUGUCGCAUACAGAAAUUGUUUUUCAUCUUCUUUCUCAUCCCCACCCAUUCCUAAAAGAAAUGCCUCUGGCCUUUUAGGGAAAGUAUAUCUAAAAGGGGAACACAGGUGGUGCUGUGGGUUAAACCACAGAGCCUAGGACUUGCCGAUCAGAAGGUCGGCAGUUCGAAUCCCAGCGAUGGGGUGAGCUCCCAUUGCUCGGUCCCUGCUCCUGCCAACCUAGCAGUUCAAAAGCACAUCAAAGUGAAAGCAGAUAAACAGGUACCGCUCCAGCGGGAAGGUAAACGGCAUUUCCAUGCGCUGCUCUGGUUCGCCAGAAGUGGCUUAGUCAUGCUGGCCACAUAACCCGGAAGCUGUACGCCGGCUCCCUCGCCCAAUAAAGUGAGAUGAGCGCCGCAACCCCAGAGUCGUUCACGACUGGACCUAAUGGUCAGGGGUCCCUUAAGCAGGUCUCUGUUUUUUCACCCACGCACACCCCACUUUUAAGUGUUCUCCAAGAUGUGGAGGGGAGGAGAAAGGGAAGGUGGGACAUUCCAGGAUCUAAUAAGAAACCAGGACAGGUGCUGUAAUUCUGGGACUGUCUCUGGAAAACAGGAACACUUGGAUGGUAUGUUGCUAUUGGUGAGAGCUGAGUUCAGGGUGGGGACCAAAGGUGGAGAAAUUACUCAAGAAGGAGCACAACGUGCCCCCACCAGAGGUGGUAUCCUCCUCCCCCCCCCCGCAUACCCUUGACAUUAGACUACACAGAAAAGGAAUAAACCAAUGAACACUUUUGUGGGGGUGGGAUCAGAGCAACUUGUUGUUCUAUGGCUCUUUUAAAGGAACCAGCCCUUCCUUUCACUCCCUGCCCACUUCAGUUUGAAAGACAGGGGCAAUUUCAGUCUCCAGAGCUGCCAGCACUAUGGAUUUUGUCCUUUUACAGCUGUCCUUUGAUAACGCAAGAGAAAAAUUAAUCCUUUAUAGCCCCUGAUUAUCUGUUUGCAGCUUAUUAAAGAUAUGAAUGCCAGUAAUUUUAAAUGGCUGCAUUAAGUUGUCCUUGAAACAAGAAAUGCAAAACAAAAAAGCAUAGGAAAGGUGUUUUUAAAAAAUGAAUCAUUAAUACAUUCCAGACUGGUGCAGGAGGACUGUGGAGGGGUGGUUUGGUUUUAUAAGAGCUGUAGACAUUGGCUCUUUAGUAACAUGGAUGAAUUAUAUUUUUAUAGCUAGCUUUUAUGAACUCCGCAAUCUCAGGGCAGAGAUUAUAACAGACUAAAUGCCAUGCACUAUUGAUAAUCUUACGUUAGCAUUUCAACCGUAUGAGUGUACUUUAGCUGAUAGCACCCAUUGCAGAGUGGAUGGAAAUCUGAUGUAGGCAGCAAUUAAUAAUAAUUGUGUGUUUGCGAAACAGUAUUGCCACAGUGUUUUACGUAACUCGUCUUUGGAACAGCAGGCUCUAAAGACACAGGGAACCGAAAAGAUGCUUCCUUCAUUUUGCCAACUGCUCAUUGUACUUCCACUAAACUCAGGAACUGCACGUAUAACUGUAAGCUCCUAUGAAACGGGCAGGGAAAGUUUUAUUAAUGGAGAAGCAAGUUCUGUAAUACGAAAAGCUCCUGUAAAAAUAACAAGAGGAAAUUUCCUUGGAACAAAUCUUAUUGCAGCAAUGUAUAAGCAAUUGCCUGCAUGUUUUUUGGGGUUUUUUUUUUUUUUUGCAACUGCUAAUUGUAUAGCAAAUGGAGAACAUUCACAUAAAGAUUUGUAUAGUGCCAUUGUGUCAAAUCAGAUAUUUUAGAGAAAAAGUGCUUUUAAAAGCAAAUUACUAGAUCCUUGAAAAUAAUAUAUGUCUUCUGUGUUAGCACAAUGGGUAUGCAGCAUGUUGCCCUCCAGGUGGUUGUUUAGUCAUGUAGUCAGGUCCGACUCUUCGUGACUCCAUGGACCAGAGCACGCCAGGCACUUCUGUCUUCCACUGCCUCCCGCAGUUUGGUCAAACUCAUGCUGGUAGCUUCAAGAACACUAUCCAACCAUCUCGUCCUCUGUCGUCCCCUUCUCCUUGUGCCCUCCAUCUUUCCCAACAUCAGGGUCUUUUCCAGGAGUCUUCUCUUCUCAUGAGGUGGCCAAAGUAUUGGAGCCUCAGCUUCAGGAUCUGUCCUUCCAGUGAGCACUCAGGGCUGAUUUCCUUCAGAAUGGAGAGGUUUGAUCUUCUUGCAGUCCAUGGGACUCUCAAGAGUCUCCUCCAGCACCAUAAUUCAAAAGCAUCAAUUCUUCGGUGAUCAGCCUUCUUUAUGGUCCAGCUCUCACUUCCAUACAUCACUACUGGGAAAACCAUAGCUUUUACUAUACGGACCUUUGUUGGCAAGGUGAUGUCUCUACUUUUUAAGAUGCUGCUCCAGGUGGUAUUGGACUCCAAUUCCUAUCAGCCCCAGCCAACAUAGCAAAUGGUCAAGAAUGAUGGGAUUUGUGGUCCAGAAACAUUUGAGAGGGACAAAGGUUCCCCUCUCCUGCUUUACAGUUAGGUUAACUCAUGUUUUUCCUAAUGAAAAUCCAAUAGUUUGAAGGAUUUAUUUGGCAACUCCUUUCUUGUCUCAGACAUUAACCAAGGAUCAAAGUUGGCCUCCGGUCCUGCCUGCCUUAAUGGAAGCAGCCCCCAUGAUAGCGGGGGAUCAUAGGCGAACAAAAAACAAGGAUGACAGAGCGUAAAUCAUCCUUGCAAAUUCCCCCCAGGAUCGGGGGGCAAUGGGCUUCACUCACAGUUCGUCUUGGUACCUGGCUCUCGCUGCGGCAUGAAUUGCAGGAGGCAAGGAGAUGCUGCCUGGUGAAAAGCCUCCUAUGCCACUAUUAAGAAGCAGAGGUUCUCCAUUUAAUUGGAGAUUUAAUUGGCUUUAAAGUACUGGCACAUGAUGGAAAAGGAUUGAAAUAACUUAGUGCUGAAUAUACCAGCUACAUGGAUCAAAGGUUUGAAUUGAGAAAGAUUUUAUUCAGAGUGAGAGUCGGUUGGGGAGAGGGAAGUCCGCCAUUUGUUUGUUUAUUCUAAGCUUCUUUUAUAUAUUUAUGAUUUGGCAACCCUCUCUGGAAUAUAAGAUAAAAAUAUAUUUACAGGUGAGGAAGGGACGUUGGAGUAAUAUUGAUAUUAACAAGCAAAAAUGGAAACUGUGUGUGAUCUGAAAUGAAGAAAGGAGGGGGAGGAGAAGCUCAAGUACGACUGUGUUGGAAAGAAAGAGUAAUUCCCCUCACCUCUGUUUAAAAACAACAGACAAGGAAAAAGAGACCAAGAUUUGUGUGUGCUACUGACGGAAUGUGAUCUAAGAUAAAGUUUAAUUGGGCCAUAAAUCUCUUGCUGAAAGGAAAAGAAUUGGGGGGCUGUGAUAAGAACACUGCAGAGAUUCUGGGAGUUGGAAAGGAGUAUUGAAUAUUCAGUGUGUUUGAAAACUUCCCACCUUUUCCUAGGCUGAGGGUAAAAUGGCGAAGAUCUGCGACAUGUUUUACUAGUGAGGCAGACUGUUGCCUGUUCUGAGACAUCGAAGCAAGGGAUGGAGAGAUAAGACCUGUGAGAAACUUUGAGAUUCAGUUCUGCCCCAAGCCAUGAUGGGAGAAAACAACAGCUGGGAAAUGAAAGAGACAACACCAUCUAGGUACAAAAGGAAUCUCCAUGGAUAUAAUAGUUUUCACCCACAGGGCAGAAUAAAGAUAACGGUUUGAGUUCCUGACUUGAAGCUUUAUAAAGUUAUAUAUUGUAACGUCAUGAAUGGAAAUCAUUAAUUAUGUAGCCAUUGACUAAGGGAUGAUUAUUAUAACUGAAAUGUAACUGACAUUAAUUAAGAUUUAUGGAACACAGUGAUAUAAGAUCGGAAAUGCACCCAAACCAUCAUGCAUCGAGCCACUUUAACUAAAAUGUAUUAAUUGGAAAUUGAUUGGCAUUUUGAUAAUUGUAUAAUUUGGGAAUUAAUUGUUAUUGUCAUAAUUUGGCUAUUAUUGGGGGUAUAUUGGAAAUAUAUAUAUAUAUUUAUAUAUAUAUAUAUAUCAAGGGGGGACGCGGGUGGCACUGUGGGUAAAACCUCAGCGCCUAGGACUUGCCGAUCAUCAGGUCGGCGGUUCGAAUCCCCGUGGCGGGGUGCGCUCCCGUUGCUCGGUCCCAGCACCUGCCAACCUAGCAGUUCGAAAGCACCCCCGGGUGCAAGUAGAUAAAUAGGGACCGCUUACUAGUGGGAAGGUAAACGGCGUUUCCGUGUGCUGCGCUGACUCGCCAGAUGCAGCUUGUCACGCUGGCCACGUGACCCGGAAGUGUCUCUGGACAGCGCUGGCCGCCGGCCUCUUAAGUGAGAUGGGCGCACAACCCUAGAGUCAGACACGACUGGCCCGUACGGGCAGGGGUACCUUUACCAUAUCUCAAGGAUCAAAGUUAUUUUUGCUAUAAAUGUACAAAGUGAAGGCAAAAAGAGCAUGUGACAAGUUCAUCAAUAAGCUGGUUUCCAAAUUUGCCAGCGCUUGCUCAAUGUGGAAAGAUGACAUUUCUGUGUACUCAGGAAAGGUCAACAGACUUCUCAACGGGAAAACUGUUGAAUAAGUUUACAUAUUCCACAGUAAAAGACCAAAUUCAUGCAGAAUUUAGAUUUCUUAUUUAUCUGAGUGGACCCCCCAAAGUAAGAGUAUUUAUGUGCAAAACCCAUUGGUAUGUUUGAAAACCACUUCACUAUUAAAUCUCAUGUAAGGCAUCUACCUAAGCAUCUACUUUAAGUUGUCUGUUGGAAACUUCUCUGUUCAUCAUGGUGAGGAUUUCUUUUUUGGGGGGUGGGGGUGGGAUCUCAUUCUUGCUGUAAUAUCUGCAUUUGUCUAUUUUAAGUUUUUAAUAUAUUGUGGUCUUAUGAUGUAGGGAUGGAUGGUUCAGCCUAUUUCCUUUCCAUGCCAGCUCAAUUAUUGGUCCAUUCUGUCCAAUUUUUGUGAUUUUUUUUAAUGCAGAAAAUAGCAUUUUGCACGUUUUUCCUCCUGAAAUAUAAACUUUUUUUUAUGUGUUUCCUUUAAAAUAUGCCUUUUUGUUUGCAUUCCCUAUAAGACAUGCAUUUUGUGCAUGUAGUUGAACUGUAAUAAUAAUAAUAAUAAUAAUAAUAAUAAUAAUAAUAAUAACAACAACUUAUUUAUUUAUACCCCACUCUUCCUGGUUCAAAAACCAGGCUCAGGGUGGCUGACAACAAAUUUAAAACACUUAAUUGUAAAAGCAGCAUAAAAUACAGUAUAAAAACAUGGGUAACAAUAAAAUUCAAAAUUCAGAAAUCAUUUUAGGGGAAAUAAGCAUUAGAUAAUCCCCAGGGCUUGCUGGCUGAAUUGGUCCUACUUGGGCCAGCAAGGAGGCCAGGGGAGAAUUAGCUGUGCGGUCUCAGAGCAGGUAAUCGUCAUAAAAGGGGAGGGGGAGGGAAGAGAAGGGAAAUAAAAUAAAUAAAAGGCUGAGUUCAAAUUAAAGGCCAGGCGGAAUAACUGUAAGUAGAUCACAACAUUCAGAGAGUGCUUCUGUCCAACUCAUAGCUCUGUUCUACUCUGUGUGUAAGUUGGGGCCUGUGCAAAAGCUUUGGAUUGCUUUAAUAGGCAGACCAAACUAAUUUCUCCUCCUAAAAUGUACGCGUCCCGUUAGGGACAACGUAUUACUUAUAUAUUCCCUGAAUUUUAAUAUUGGAAGGAGAUUAAUAGCAUAAUUCUUGACAUGUGUAAUCAAAAAUAAGCCCCACUGAAUUCAACAGAGCUUACCUUAAAGAAAUUGGGUACAGCAUUGCAUCCUUAGGCCAUAGCUGUCAACCGUCCCUUAUUUGGCAGGAAAGUCCCUUAUCCCAGCGCCGUGUCCCGCUGCUGUCCGUUAUUGAUGAUGUCCCUUAAAUUUUCCGGGUUUCAAAGGAAGCAGCUCCUCUCCCUCCCUCUCUGCUGGCCAGGGAGGAGGGAGGCUCCAACUGUGUUGCUUGGCUGUGUUGCUCACCCAAUAAGGAGUCUAAGAACGACUGGGGGGUGGAGCUCGCAUGCCUUGUGCCGAUCAAAUCGGCCGCAUUGCUUGGGGACUCGCCUUUGCUCAGCGCUUCCCAGCGGAGAGGUGACGGUGGUUUUCCUUGCUGCAUCCCCUUUGCCGGGUUGCUGCGCUGUGGGAACCACCGCUUGAGGCUUUGUUUGGCUGCUGGCUGGGCUUUCUGCCUUUGGCUCGGAGGGGCUCAGAAGUUGAACAUACCUGUUUUCAGAAAAUCCCUUCUUUUGGCUGCUGAUCCCUUAUUUUCGAGGCUGCUGGUUCCUUAUUUUCAAAUCUGUAAGUUGACAGCUAUGCCUUAGGCUGUACUGCUAUGCUGACCUACUUGGGUGUAGGCCCUAUGUAACUCAUUGGGGCUUACUUCCAAGUAAACAUGCUUAGGAUUGUGCUUGAAACACAUUGCAGAUAAGAAUAACUAUGCAUAAAGGAAACCUCUUUACUUCUUGACACUUUUCAUUCAAAAUAGCCACUGUGAGUGGCUUUGAGCUUCUUUUGCAGCCUGCUCUAGGUCUUGACUCAUGGCUGAAGGAAUGUUUGGUCUAAAAUUCUGGCCCUCAACUCAUUGGCUUGUGCGACUCUUUUCUUCCAUGUUUCAGAAACCUCAGGCAGCCACAGAAACGAUCACAGAGUCCAACGUGAUCAACAGAUGAGGGGAAAUCCAUUGAAUGAAAUGUCUUAUUUUGGGUGUGUUCAUAGUUGUGUGACCAUUGUGAUGUGUAGAUUUUGAUAAUCAGUUACACACAUUUCACCCCAACCCAAAGCGCGUUAGAGAAGUCAACUCUGACCCAAACCUGAAAUGAAAGUCUGCCCAGCAGCAGGCUGAUGUCAUAGAUUGGGUGAAUUAAAAACAUAAACACCAGAGGGACUCUUUGUGUGUAAAACUAGGCUCUUGGGCUGGGAUAAUAAUAAUUAUUAUUAUUAAUAAUAAUAAUUUAUAACUUAUACCCCGCCCAUCUGGCUGGGCUUCCGUGGCCAAUCUGGGCGGAUUCCAAAAAAAUAUUAAAAUACUGUAAUACAUCAAACAUUAAAAGCUUCCCUAAAUAGGGCUGCCUUCAGAUGUCUUCUAAAAGUCUGGUAGUUGUUGUUCUCUUUGACAUCGGGUGGGAGGGCAUUCCACAGGGUGGGUGCCACUACCGAGAAGGCCCUCUGCCUGGUUCCCUGUAACUUGGCUUCUCGCAAUGAGGGAACUGCCAGAAGGCCCUCGGAGUUGGACCUCAGUGUCCGGGCAGAAUGAUGGGAGUGGAGGCGCUCCUUCAGGUAUACUGGACCGAGGCCAUUUAGGGCUUUAAAGGUCAGCACCAACACUUUGAAUUGUGCUCGGAAACGUACUGGGAACCAAUGUAGGUCUUUCAAGACCGGUGUUAUACGGUCUCGGCGGCCGCUCCCAUUUAAUUGCCAAUUAAGAAUGUUGCUUUCAGACUGAAGACCACACAGUGAAAAGAUCUAAAAGGUUGACGAUGCAUAUACGAGAAGACAGCUCCUCUCCUCUAUCUUAGGUGACCCUACUGGGAGUGUAUGACUCCUGAAGGCUUUGCUCACGAGGAUCACAGGAACGUUCAAGCCCACUCACCAUGACCAGGUGAUGAUCCAGAACAUGUGACCAACCCUGUCACAACUGGACCGGCUGUCGAUUACUUUCGAGGCCCAAAUCAAAGUGCAGCUGUUGACCUACAAAGCCUUACACAACUCCGGGCCUCAAUACCUGAAGGAUCGCCUCUCCAUGUAUGAACCGACCAGGCCCUGGGCUUGUCAUCUGAGGCCCUUCUCUGUGUCCCCCAUCCCUUUGAGGUUCAGAGGGUGACAACACAAGAACGGGCCUUAUCUCUGGUGGCUCCCUGAUUGUGGAAUGCUCUCCCCAGAGACACCCGCCUGGCGCCAUCACUAUGUGUCUUUAGGUGCCAGGCAAAAACAUUCCUCUUUACCUAGACCUAGGGCUAUUAAAUAAUCUCUGGCCUGUGAAAGUGUGGGGGAGAAGACGGUUGUUAUGAUGACUAUUUUAUUAUUAGGCUGCCUGUCAGGAUGCGUUUUAUUGUGUUUUGAUUAUGUUUUUAUCAUUGAUGUUCAAUAAUAUCAUUGAUGUGUUUUAAUGUGGUACACCGCCCUGGGAUCUUCUGAUAAAGGGCGAUAUAUAAAUUGGGCAGUAUAUAAACUGAAAUAAUAAUAAUAAUAAUAAUAAUAAUAAUAAUGUGACCCUUGAGCAGAUAGUUUCUCCAUGCCUGAGGUAAACCAGUCAGUUCCCUUUAUGCCUAUGCAUUACAGUCCUGGUUUGAAUUCUCCAAAGACUGUUUUCCAGACUGCAGUGUCCAAACUACAGUGAUCAUAGUUCUAGAUGAUAGACGUGGAGGAAAAUCUUUCUGAAGCUUUUUUGUUGUUCAGCUCUGUUGAAAUCACCAAGGCGUCAAUCAUUCCUGUGCUGCGAAAAGUGUUAGUGUUCAGGGGCUUGCUGUUUUCCCUUCUUCUAAAAAUAAGAGCAGGAGUUAUUUCAUUGAGGGGUUUGCCAAAUGAUUUGAUAGCAUUCUUUAGCUGAUUAACUCUCUUGCGUUGAGCUGGUAAUUCAAUCGAUUCCUCAUCGAUCGAAAUAACUUUAACAUGACACCCUAAUAUAGGCAAUAUUUUGUGGGUAUUUAUUGGAUUCCCUCUGUCCAUUAAAGAAGUGGCAAAUCAUUAUUUUUUUUCCAGUUAGGGAGGUAAUGUUGCAGGCAUGGCUUGAGCUCAGAGGCAAAGGCGGAAUGCCAUAAUGUGGUGUCAAGCUUGAUACUUUAAAAAACUCAGGUAAGAGGCUGAUCACAGAAAUUUGCAUAACGUUUGCAUCUAUUUAUGUGUAUAGCUGGUUCUGGGCAGUUAGGCUCAGCUGGAUAGCUGGGGUCUCAGCAAGGGAUGUCAAAUUGUUGUUGUUGUUGCCAUCUGUCUGUCUGGAGGAUGUUUGGUACAAGGACAGUGGAACCUUGGUUCUCGAACUUAAUCCGUUCCGGAAGUCCGUCUGACUCCCGAAACUGUUCGGCAACUGAGGGGCAGCUUCCGAUUGGCUGCAGGAGCUUCCUGCACUGAAGCGAAAGCAGCGUCGGACAUUAGGCUUCCAAAAAACGUUCGAAAAAAGGAACACUUACUUUUGGGUUUACAGCAGUUGGGAGCCGAUUUAUUCGUCAACUAGGCCGUUCGAGAACCAAGGUUCUACUGCUAAUAAUAAUAAUAAUAAUAAUAUUUUUUAUUUAUAUCCCACCCUCCCCAGCCGAAGCCGGGCUCCGGGCGGCUAACAACAAUAAAAUAGUACCACAUUCUAAAAACAUUUCAUUAUAAAAAUUAAUUCAGCUCAAAUGGAUGGCAACCAUUAGGCUAAGGUUCUGUGAAGAUUGCCAAGGGAGGGAGUCAGGCUGCGCCCUGACCAAAGGCCUGGUGGAACAGCUCUGUCUUGGAGGCCCUGCGGAAAGAUGUCAAGUCCCGCAGGGCCCUAGUCUCUUGUGACAGAGCGUUCCACCAGAUUGGAGCCGCAGCCGAAAAAGCCCUGGCUCUAGUUUGAGGCCAGCCUAACCUCUCUGUGGCCUGGGACUUUCAGGAUGGUUUUAUUUAAAGACCGUAAGUUCCUCUGUGGGACAUACCAGGAGAGGCGGUCCCGAAGGUACGAGGGUCCUAGGCCGUAUAGGGCUUUAAAGGUUAAAACCAGCACCUUAAACCUGAUCCUGUACUCCACCGGGAGCCAGUGCAGCUGGUAUAGCACCGGGUGGAACGCAAAGACAGAGCUGACAAGUGAGAACUAGCCCCUUCCGCCAAAUUAUGCUGUCAAGCCUUUCCUACAUGUUCCAUACAACAUUCAACAAUAACAAAUCACUGCUUUGCUGGGUCCACUUACUCUUUCUACCAUUGCUGACUAGCCACCCUUGUCUCAGCUACGAAAGAGUGGGGCAGCCUUAGCUACAGCUGCUGGGAAUGUGUUUGGGAGGAGCUGCUGAAGAAUAAAACGACCAUCUGGAGCAGUUCUGGAUUUAGGGUGGUGCUGGUGGUUCCCCAGCGCAUAUCACUGAGCUGAGGGGGUGCAAAAUUGAGAAGAUCCAUAAUUGAGAAGAGCCAUUUGGAAGCACCAAACUUUGGCUUCGCACAGGGUACUAUAUUAUGAAAGAUUACCAAAGUCCACCCCUUUCUGGUGGGACCCUUUGCUUCCUCGCUCUCCUCAGUGUAUUCAGACAGAAAGCUUUAAACCAGGACUUUUUCAUUCGGAACUCAGUUCUGGCACCUCUCAGGUGAGUGCCAUUGUCAGUAUAAGAGAACAAAGGAGGCGUUCAUGGUGAGUUCUGUCACCUCUUUUUCUAGAAAAAUAGCACUGCCUAAAACCAAUAUAAGGGACGCGGGUUUCGCUGUGGGUUAAACCACAGAGCCUAGGACUUGCCGAUCAGAAGGUCGGCGGUUUGAAUCCCUGCAACGGGUGAGCUCCCGUUGCUCGGUCCCUGCUCCUGCCAACCUAGCAGUUCGAAAGCACAUCAAAGUGCGAGUAGAUAAAUAGGUACCACUCCGGCGGGAAGGUAAACGGCAUUUCCAUGUGAUGCUCUGGUAAUAAUAAUAAUAAUAAUAAUAAUAAUAAUUUAUUAUUUAUACCCCGCCCAUCUGGCUGAGUUUCUCCAGCCACUCUGGGCGGCUCCCAAUCAAGUGUUAAAAACAGUACAGCGUUAAAUAUUAAAAACUUCCCUAAACAGGGCUGCCUUCAAAUGUCUUUUAAAGAUAGGAUAGCUGCUUAUUUCCUUCACAUCGGAAGGGAGGGCGUUCCACAGGGUGGGCGCCACUACCAAGAAGACCCUCUGUCUGGUUCCCUGCAACCUCACUUCUUGCAAUGAGGGAACCGCAAGAAGGCCCUCGGUGCUGGACCUCAGUGGGGGCUGAAUGAUAGGGGUGGAGAUGCUCCUUCAGGUAUACAGGACCGAGGCCGUUUAGGGCUUUAAAGGUCAGCACCAACACUUUGAAUUGUGCUCGGAAACGCGGCUUAGUCAUGCUGGCCACAUGACCUGGAAGCUGUACGCCGGCUCCCUCGGCCAAUAAAGCGAGAUGAGCGUCGCAACCCCAGAGUCGACCACGACUGGACCUAAUGGUCAGGGGUCCCUUUACCCUUUACCUUUAAAACCAAUAUACUGCCUACUCUGGGAGAUAGUCUUUCAUUUAGGAUUUGUAUCUCCCACUUUUCUUGACAACAAAGAACAUUGUAAGAAGUUAUGUGACACAUGGACACAGACACACAGACACACAGACACACACACACACACACACACACACACACACGAGUGGUACCUUGGUUUACAAACUUAAUCUGUUCCUGAAGUCUGCUCUUAAACCAAAUCCAUUCUUAAACCAAGGCGUGUUCCCUAAUGAGGCCUCCCGCCGCCGGUGCUCUUCCAUGGUUUGGCUUCCAUUCUUAGACCAAGGUAAAGUUCGCAAACUGGGACACUACUUCUGGUUUUGCAGAGUUUGUAAACCGAAUAGUUCAUUAACAGGGCUGUUCGUAAACUGAGGUACCACACUGUGUGUGUGUCUCUCUGUGUGUAUUUAUAUUUGCCUGUGUGACUGGAAUUUCCUCUUUUUCCAUCCCCUAGCAGCAAGUAUGAAGCCAUGAGGUGGUCAUCUUUUAAGAAAUUCACAAUGCAGCCAACUAUGGUAUUUUAUUUCCUGUGAGAAAACACCUCUUCUCCUUGUCAAUUAUCCUUUUUCAUUUGGGUUCCAAAUGAUGAAAAUCAGUCUUUCCGUUAAAGAGAUGUGCCUGACCUUCCAGAUGUCUGAAAAACGAUAGUUUAUAGGGCCCACCAGCAAAACAAUGAUAAAAUGCCCCGAUUUGGUUUAUCUGUACUCUCAUGAGGGAGAGUUUGAAGUCUUCCUGCUGAAGCACCAGGGCUGUGACUCAGACUGUGCAGAAAAUAACUGGCACUUGAAAGCACUGAGGUGACAGCCUGUAGUUGUAACUUCAAACCUGUAACGUUUAUCGGAUUUAUGUACCUCUAAUGGAAAUGAUGACUCUUCGGAUCCUGGAUCUGUAGAUUGGCUUUUGGGAAAGCUCAAUUCAUUAUUCAACUAGAUAGCAGAAGGCGUCAAAACCGUAUAGCUAAAAACGUUUUAUAGCCAAAUUGCUAGCUAGCUAUGAGCAGGAAUAAAUGACGGGCAACGUAUAUUCAAAGGAUGACCUACCCAGCAAGCCGCUUUUUCACGAGGAGACGAUGAUGUGAGAAAAUGUGUUGUGUGAAUAGCUCUCUCACACACGGCUGGCUCCCCACCGGUUCCUUGUCAUGGAACACGUUGUUUCAUCUCUACACUGUCAUCUUAACUGUGGCCGACUGUGGAGUUUAGCGACUCAAAGUAUUGCAACUGCUCAGCAGUUUUGAAGUGAGUGACAGCCUUGUUGCCUGCUUUGGCUCACUCUCAUUGCAGCUACUAAGCACGAGUGGAAAUUCAAGGUGAGGGAUGUUUCUCCCUCAGAAAAAUGGAGCCGGCUGUGAAUUCCACCAUCGGACUUUGGUUCAUCCCUCGUUGGCAUUCAGGAUGGCUUUGCACACAUGCGAUGAAGGCCCUGAGUGAGAAUUAAGUGAAAUCUGAAUUAUUAUUAUUAUUAUUAUUAUUAUUAUAAUAAAAAAAUUAUUCAAAAUUAAAACAAAACAUAUUAUCCAAAAACAUAUCAUCCUCAUUCCCCCCCUUUUUGCUCCCUCCCCCCACCCUCCAACACAAAACCCACCCACCCCCCGGCUUCCCUCAGUUCCCUCAGUCUUUGGUUUCUAUGAGAAGGCUGUUUUCUGCAUGUUACAAAGUUGUACAGAUCCUCAAACUAUUUAGCUGAUUAUUAUCAAUAAAAAGUUUGUGAAUGUUUAUUCAAAGCCAGCCAAGGAGUCCAGUUCGCUUUGUUGCAUCUUCAAAUACUUUGUAAAGGGUUCCCAUUCAUCUUUAAAGUCACAGUUAUCCUUGUCCUGCAGCUUGUAUGUCAGUUUUACCAGUUCUGCAUAGUCCAUCAAUUUUUCUUGCCAUGAUUCUUUAGUUGGGGUUUCUUCAGUCUUCCAUCCUUGUGCUCUUAGAACUCUCUUGGCCGUUGUCGCAUACAUGAAGAUGUUUUUCAGCUUUUUUGGCAGAUCUUUCCCUACAAUCCCUAACAAAAAUGCUUCAGGUUUUUUAACAAGUGUUAAAUGGAACAUUUUCUUCAAUUCGUUGUAUAUCAUUUCCCAAUUUUUUAAAAUUACAUUACAAUCCCACCACAUAUGAUAAAAUGUCCCCUCCUUUUCCUUACACUUCCAACAUAUAUUUGAACUAGUUUUGUACAUUUUCCCUAACUGCACUGGAAGUGAAAUCUGAAUUAUAUGCUUUUUUUUGUUUUAAAGUUUCUGAUGGCUAAAUUACUGGAUUGGUGUAAGCCUACCUUGACCCUAAAUAUAGGGACAUGUCCUGAAACAGUAGCACAGAUGGAGUCAAUGGAAGGAACAUAGCGUUGUGCUAAGUUAAAGUCUAAUAAUAAUAAUAAUAAUAAUUUAUUAUUUAUGCCCUGCCCAUCUGGCUGGGUUUCUCCAGCAACUCUGGGUGGCUUCCAACAAAAGAUUAGAAAUAUAUCAAAACAUCAGUCAUAAAAAACUUCCCAUACUAGCUGUGCUGUGCUGGCUUGUGAAAGAGAAGGGCAGGUACGUGAAUUUCUAUAUUAAUUUGGGCUGGAUCUAGACCCUAGACCAGUGGCUUCCAACCUUUUUUGGCCACCUAAGCAUCUCUAAAAUCCUGGUGCAAUCCCCCCUCCCAUGACAUAUAAUUCUAAUUAUUCAAAAAGUGAACUCCUAUUCACAUGGAGGGAGCCAAGGCCAUUCACUGUUAAUAACUCAUUCUCGAAUUGCCUCCCUUAAAAAUCAAAUGGCGCCCCACAUUGGGAACAACGGAUCUAGACACAUCAAAGAAGCGUUUCAGCUAAACGCGCUGCAAACUUUGUAUGAGAAAUUGGGUAAGCAAAAAUGGAACUCCGCAGCGCUAUCUGGUGCCACAGUGUUAGAAUGCAUUUACAACACAUAUAAAGCGUUUUUUCUUUGCCAAUGUAGCUGAGUCCUAGGUUAGAGCACUGCCUCAAAAUUUGGGAAAGUACAGAUUUCGAAGGAUUGGUUGAGUUUCGCUUCAUGUAGCAUUUUAAGGUAAAGGUAAAGGGACCCUUGACCAUUAGGUCCAGUCGUGACCGACUCUGGGGUUGCGGUGCUCAUCUCACUUUAUUGGCCGAGGGAGCCGGCGUACAGCUUCCGGGUCACAUGGCCAGCAUGACUAAGCUGCUUCUGGCGAACCAGAGCAGCGAACAGAAAUGCCGUUUACCUUCCCGCCGGAGUGGUACCUAUUUAUCUACUUGCACUUUGAUGUACUUUCGAACUGCUAGGUUCGCAGGAGCAGGGACCGAGCAGCGGGAACUCACCCCGUCAUGGCGAUUCGAACCGCCGACCUUCUGAUCGACAAGUCCUAGGCUCUGUGGUUUAACCCACAGCGCCACCUGUGUCCCUAUGUAGCAUUUUAGAACGUGCUAAUUGGGUAGAUUCACCUUUAAAUGCAAAAUUUAAUCUCUGUCCAACUAUUAACUGCAUUACGCUGUUGGGAUUCCAGUGAGCACUGUUUGUGCAUUUUCUUUUUAGUAGCUGGUCCAUGUUUGUGUCAACCAUUUCUCCCUUUUUGUCAGUUAUUGUCAAGUAUUUGAGCUGAUCGCUUUGCACGUCUUCUCAUUAUGCUCCCAGUGUGAACAAGAUUCUCCCUCCUUUCUUAUCUCUAAUUCCAUUAUUAGAAAUAACCUGCUGGCUAAUUUUCAAGCCUUUUUACCUUUCUGCAUUUUGAAAACAUGAUAUGCAAAACUAGAGGGGUAAAAGCGAUACUUGAUUUCAAAAGUGUGUGCUUCCUCUCCCUCUCUUCUCAUAUAUAUAUAUAUAUAUAUAUAUAUAUAUAUAUAUGAGAGAGAUUCAGAUAUACAUAUUCCUAGCACUAAACAUGAUUAGAGCAUAGUAUGGAUUAAUUGCUCCGCCAAAUGUCAUCCCUAUAAAUCAAAUCUGUUUUGUGACAUAUGAGUGAAAGUAUCUGAAUGCUUCAAAGUCAUUAAAAGCUAUCUGCAUAAUUUUAAAAGCUGCUAAACAUUGUUCUUAUUUACAUUGUAGGCUGGAAGGGACCGGGGUGAAAGAGAAGGGAAUGUUUACUGCGCUAAUGAGAACUUGAGUGACACAUUUCUGUCAAAUGCUAAUUUUUACAUCAACCCUUUUGACAAGGGUGUUUGCGACAAAUAUAUAUAUAUAUAUGCUGCACUAAGGAAUUCAGGGCCCAAACCUUCUACCCCCUUCUGAUUCCUUCUUCUCCCAACCUGCCACACCCCCCCCUUCAGGCAAAAUGCCCUGAUUUUUAAUGUUGAGUUUAUGUGGAAGGAAAUAAAGGCAAAGCAACGCUUUUGCUUGUAGACUGCAGCAUGUUCAGUGCUCCCAUAUAUUACCAGGCUAAUUUCAAUGUGCAGGAAACUGGCUAUACAGUUUGGGACCAGAAUACCACCCAAAAUAUCAUUUCCUGCCCUACAUUCCAAACGGAUGCUGCAUUCUGCAGGCAAGGACAUCUUGCAGAUACCAUCCUGUCUGGCCUUCUGUGUGAUGGCACCUACCCUUUGGAGUUCCCUGGAUAGUGAUGGUGGGGCAGCUGUGGCCCUUUGCAUCUGUUGAAUGAGGAUGGCCAAUGGUUGGGGUUGUGGGCUCACCACACCUGGAGGGCCACCACCCCAGUAAUAUAAUGUCACAGGAAAAGGAGGUCCAAAGUCCAACUUGUACAGGAAACCCCUGUUUUAGGCAUGGCUGCUAUGUUCACAAUCGUGUACAUGAGGAGUGGUGGCUGGAUACUGAUGAGUGGGUACCGGGAAUGGGGGUUUGGAGUCUGACUUGGAAGAAGGGAUCUGUGAACUGGGAGAACCUGUGACAGCCAAGAGAUGAGUGAGAGGCAGGAGAAGCUGCAGGAUUGGAGGGAGAGAUGGGCCAGGCUGGUGGAGUUUCAUGGGCUCCUCCUCCUGCCACCGACUCUCCUGCUCCACUGUCUCCCAGGACCAGUAGAGGACUGAAGAGGGAGGAGCAAAAGGUUACAUGCAGGCACAGUCUUCACCUGCUUGCACGUAGGUCGGAUAGGUGUCAGGGACUGGACUGAACAGGAAGGCUGGGAACUGUCCCCUCUGUCUCCUCAUGGAGUGGGAAGACUCCCUUUGUCUCCAGCAGUUUCAAGAGGAGGAGGAGACAGGGUUGAAUUACAGCCAAGUGAAGAACUGCCAAGUUACGAGAUAGUGGUGGAGGAGGAGGGAGCGAGAGAGCAGCCAGCAGAGAUCUCCUUGGAGUGUCUGGGAGAGCCUCCUUCUCCAAGGGCUCGUCAAUCACUUUGCAUUCAAGAAGAGAGAAUGUGGAGGUGUGUGACUCCCAUAGGGACUCAGGAUGCUGUUGGGGAUGGAAGAGGAAGGACUCAAAGUAGGCAACAUCUCCAUUGCGUGGAGAUUUGGAGUCUUUGUCUUGCACCCAGAUGACUGAAUAAAACCCAUAAAUAUGAACUUGCUUGUUCUCCUUGCCUUUGAUCCUACCGGCGGAGGAGAGGAUUCUCUACGCCUGACAAUAGGGGAGACAGAUGAACUGAGGGUGGGGCUUCUCUGUUGUGGCAACUGCCUCAUUGGGUGCAUACCUAGGACUAGCUGAGACUCAUAGGACUGACAGGCAUGCAUUCCCCAAACAUGUAAGUAUAUUUUUUGAGUCUGACAAUAAGGAGUUCAUUCCUCACUCUGGACAUUCCGUGCCUGACACCCAGAGACCUUUAUUGAUAAAACAACUUGUACAGGCAACCCAUUUUAGGCGUGGCCAAUAUGUUCGCAAUUGUGUACAUGCACGCAGCGCCAAACCUGGAAGUGACUUGGAAACGUCAUAAAAAAGUCACUAAAAGGGUGGAGCAGGGGCAGAACGGGGCGUUUCAAUUGCAAGCGAUUUCACACAAGUGCUCAAUGACCCAGAAUGCGACCCACAUGCAAAUUGGGAGGCGCGGGUGGCGCUGUAGUCUAAACCACUGAGUCUCUUGGGCUUGCCGAUCAGAAGGUCGGUGGUUUGAAUCCCCGCAACGGAGUGAGCUCCCAUUGCUCUGUCCCAGCUCCUGCCAACCCAGCAGUUCAAAAGCAUGCCAGUGCAAGUAGAUAAAUAGGUACCAAUGCAGAGGGAAGGUAAACGGUGUUUCCAUGCGCUCUGGUUUCCAUCACAGUGUCCCAUUGCACCAGAAGCGGUUUAGUCAUGCUGGCCACAUGAUCCGGAAAGCUGUCUGUGGACAAACACUGUCUCCCUCAGCCUGAAAAGCGAGAUGAGUGCUGCAACCCAUAGUCGCCUUUGACUGGACUUAACCAUCCAGGGGUCCUUUACCUUUUACCUUUUUACCUGUACUGGCAACAAAAAUGGAAAGAGAGGGAUCCAGCUCAACGGGUCAGACGCAGAAGGCCUCAGGUUCAACCUUGGCAUCUCCAGUUCAAAAGAGGUGGCGAAUAUCAGGCCUGGACAAUAGCUCUUCCUAAGACUCUGGAGAGCUACUACUAGCUAGGGAAGCAUUACUGGUCUAGAGAUGAACCAAUGAUAGGACAGCAUAGGGUUGUUUUGUUAUCUUCGUAUCUCCCAUGGAGCAUAAUUUCAGCUCAUCCCAAAAAACUUAUUGAGCAACUGAAAGGGCGGGGAAGGAAUGGUCACAGGAUAUGGUGUGGUGAGCCUUACCCUAACCCCUGGUUUAUCAGCUGGGACUGGAGGGAAGAACUCCCACGUCUAGGUGUUAUCGCUUCGUGUUUGUGUGGACCAAGAUUCAGCAGGGCUAGGGUUUGUUUUUGUAGAUGUUAAGCUCAUCUGUCAGAAGUAGCUAAAACGUGCAGCUGCUUCAUUCAGGCCCCUGCCUCCAGCAAAUGAGAUCUCCCUGGGUUUGCAGGAGUCCUUGCUCGGUCCUUUUCGGUGUGAUGCCCCUUCCUUGUUGUGAGAGCGAAACACAGCCCCGGUAUUCUCUCAGGCAGCAAAACGCUGCCAGCAGUGAUAGCUGUAAACAUUCCCUCGAGUGUUUUGAUAUAAGGCUCAGAAAGGAAGUUAUUGUAUUAGAUUUCAGUUUGGGUGGGGUGUAGGGAGGGGAGUCCUGAUAAGAUUACGUUGGAGCUAUUCUCUAUUUGUCUAGCACACACGGUCCUUUCAAAUCUAUGGAGGAACGACCAGAUUGUCAAUUUGCAGAUAGCCAUGUCAGUUCAGAGCAGGGAGAAAUGAAACUGGAAAAGGGCUGGGUUUGUGGCCUUGUACCCAGUGCUUUUUACUGGGGGGACGCACGGGUACGCAUGCCCCUAAACAUUUUGUGAAUCUAAGUUUGGCCUCAUUGAGGGGAAGUAUUUCAAUAUGAGUAGGAAAAUGAGAGUACCCCUAAACAUUUUUUUUAAAAAAAGCACUGGGUUCACCUUUCCAGUUUUUCAGAUCCCCCAAGUUAACUUUUAUUUUUUGCUAAAAUUACUUAGAGCACGAUCUGUCCACAACAGCAUGGAGUGGAUUGUGGCCCAAGGUUUGUCAUGGGAAAGUCAGAUAGCAAUGGAGAGUAGACAUGGGGCAGGGGAGAGAGAUAUUCAUUUUGAUCCACAUUUGAAUGUGAACAUAUCUUGUCUGCAUUUCCUUAAACAAUGCACAAGCUGAAACAUGGGUAUUCUUUUUGAAAUUUGCCCUUCUUUGAAUUUUGUGAUGCAGUUCAGUGACAACCACAGCCACAACAAUAACAGCAGCAGCAGAAGCAGCAGCAACAACAA